rnacentral:rRNA from 1 species
GGGGAAUAUUGCACAAUGGGGGAAACCCUGAUGCAGCAACGCCGCGUGAGCGAUGAAGGCCUUCGGGUUGUAAAGCUCUGUCUUCUCUGACGAUAAUGACGGUAAGAGAGGAGGAAGCCACGGCUAACUACGUGCCAGCAGCCGUGGUAAUACGUAGGUGGCAAGCGUUGUCCGGAAUUAUUGGGCGUAAAGGAUGCGUAGGCGGUCUUUUAAGUGGGAUGUGAAAUACCCGGGCUUAACCUGGGAAUGGCAUUCCAAACUGGAAGACUAGAGUGCAGGAGAGGAAAGUGGAAUUCCCAGUGUAGCGGUGAAAUGCGUAGAGAUUGGGAGGAACACCAGUGGCGAAGGCGACUUUCUGGACUGUAACUGACGCUGAAGCACGAAAGCAUGGGUAGCAAAC